GCAUGCCUACAACAUAGCAUUAAUGCACUGGAUCCCAUUAGAACUCUGUAGUUAAAUGCGCUCAUGCUAGAGUAGUACUGGGAUGGGUGACCGCCCGAGAAUUCCUAGUGUUUUACAUGCC
rfam:Picea glauca, whole genome shotgun sequence.